rnacentral:rRNA from 1 species
AACAAGUACCGUGAGGGAAAGUUGAAAAGAACUCUGAAUAGAGAGUUAAACAGUACGUGAAACUGCUUAGAGGUUAAGCCCGAUGAACCUGAAUAUCCGCUUAUGGAAAAUUCAUCAUUAAAAUUGUAAUAUUUAAAUAAUAUUAUGAGAAUAGUGUGCAUUUUUUCCAUAUAAGGACAUUGUAAUCUAUUAGCAUAUACCAAAUUUAUCAUAAAAUAUAACUUAUAGUUUAUUCAAAUUAAAUUGCUUGCAUUUUAACACAGAAUAAAUGUUAUUAAUUUGAUAAAGUGCUGAUAGAUAUUUAUAUGAUUACAGUGCGUUAAUUUUUCGGAAUUAUAUAAUGGCAUAAUUAUCAUUGAUUUUUGUGUUUAUUAUAUGCACUUGUAUGAUUAACAAUGCGAAAGAUUCAGGAUACCUUCGGGACCCGUCUUGAAACACGGACCAAGGAGUCUAACAUAUGUGCAAGUUAUUGGGAUAUAAACCUAAUAGCGUAAUUAACUUGACUAAUAAUGGGAUUAGUUUUUUAGCUAUUUAUAGCUAAUUAACACAAUCCCGGGGCGUUCUAUAUAGUUAUGUAUAAUGUAUAUUUAUAUUAUUUAUGCCUCUAACUGGAACGUACCUUGAGCAUAUAUGCUGUGACCCGAAAGAUGGUGAACUAUACUUGAUCAGGUUGAAGUCAGGGGAAACCCUGAUGGAAGACCGAAACAGUUCUGACGUGCAAAUCGAUUGUCAGAAUUGAGUAUAGGGGCGAAAGACCAAUCGAACCAUCUAGUAGCUGGUUCCUUCCGAAGUUUCCCUCAGGAUAGCUGGUGCAUUUUAAUAUUAUAUAAAAUAAUCUUAUCUGGUAAAGCGAAUGAUUAGAGGCCUUAGGGUCGAAACGAUCUUAACCUAUUCUCAAACUUUAAAUGGUAAGAACCUUAACUUUCUUGAUAUGAAGUUCAAGGUUAUGAUAUAAUGUGCCCAGUGGGCCACUUUUGGUAAGCAGAACUGGCGCUGUGGGAUGAACCAAACGUAAUGUUACGGUGCCCAAAUUAACAACUCAUGCAGAUACCAUGAAAGGCGUUGGUUGCUUAAAACAGCAGGACGGUGAUCAUGGAAGUCGAAAUCCGCUAAGGAGUGUGUAACAACUCACCUGCCGAAGCAACUAGCCCUUAAAAUGGAUGGCGCUUAAGUUGUAUACCUAUACAUUACCGCUAAAGUAGAUGAUUUAUAUUACUUGUGAUAUAAAUUUUGAAACUUUAGUGAGUAGGAAGGUACAAUGGUAUGCGUAGAAGUGUUUGGCGUAAGCCUGCAUGGAGCUGCCAUUGGUACAGAUCUUGGUGGUAGUAGCAAAUAAUCGAAUGAGACCUUGGAGGACUGAAGUGGAGAAGGGUUUCGUGUGAACAGUGGUUGAUCACGAGUUAGUCGGUCCUAAGUUCAAGGCGAAAGCCGAAAAUUUUCAAGUAAAACAAAAAUGCCUAACUAUAUAAACAAAGCGAAUUAUAAUACACUUGAAUAAUUUUGAACGAAAGGGAAUACGGUUCCAAUUCCGUAACCUGUUGAGUAUCCGUUUGUUAUUAAAUAUGGGCCUCGUGCUCAUCCUGGCAACAGGAACGACCAUAAAGAAGCCGUCGAGAGAUAUCGGAAGAGUUUUCUUUUCUGUUUUAUAGCCGUACUACCAUGGAAGUCUUUCGCAGAGAGAUAUGGUAGAUGGGCUAGAAGAGCAUGACAUAUACUGUUGUGUCGAUAUUUUCUCCUCGGACCUUGAAAAUUUAUGGUGGGGACACGCAAACUUCUCAACAGGCCGUACCAAUAUCCGCAGCUGGUCUCCAAGGUGAAGAGUCUCUAGUCGAUAGAAUAAUGUAGGUAAGGGAAGUCGGCAAAUUAGAUCCGUAACUUCGGGAUAAGGAUUGGCUCUGAAGAUUGAGAUAGUCGGGCUUGAUUGGGAAACAAUAACAUGGUUUAUGUGCUCGUUCUGGGUAAAUAGAGUUUCUAGCAUUUAUGUUAGUUACUUGUUCCCCGGAUAGUUUAGUUACGUAGCCAAUUGUGGAACUUUCUUGCUAAAAUUUUUAAGAAUACUAUUUGGGUUAAACCAAUUAGUUCUUAUUAAUUAUAACGAUUAUCAAUUAACAAUCAAUUCAGAACUGGCACGGACUUGGGGAAUCCGACUGUCUAAUUAAAACAAAGCAUUGUGAUGGCCCUAGCGGGUGUUGACACAAUGUGAUUUCUGCCCAGUGCUCUGAAUGUCAAAGUGAAGAAAUUCAAGUAAGCGCGGGUCAACGGCGGGAGUAACUAUGACUCUCUUAAGGUAGCCAAAUGCCUCGUCAUCUAAUUAGUGACGCGCAUGAAUGGAUUAACGACGGACGUGUUUUCGUUGCGCUCGUGGACAUAGUGCGAAGAACUUUGUUUUCCGUAUUUGGAAGUAUACGAAUAAAUAAUUUAGUGUUCCGUGGAAGUGGUGCGCAAAUUUUCGCGAAUUAAAAACAAGCGGUUUGGAAGUAAUUGACAAUAAAUUAUUGGAAAUUUUCCACUCCGCACGUGUUGAGCGGCGAGCUUGCGGGUGAGCUUUUCGAACAGCUGAGAGAAGCUUAUUGGUGGUAGUCACCGCUAAGGAUUGUGUCUUGGGACAGCUUAGUGCACUCUACCAAUAGGUGGAGCUAUCACCAUAGCAACUAGCCCGUGUCAGCGAGCAUACGAUUGCUGGACUCGUCAAAAGGAGGAGCCACCAUCGGAGCAACGCCGAUGGAGAGCGACAGCAGUGUGAGUGCCUUGAGCGGAAGCAGUGCCUCAAAGGUGUCAAGACGAGGCAGGCGUAGAGGCCAUCUGGCCUCCAAGAGCUCGGCGCCAACGCAGGCGAAGCUGGUUGCCCUGGCCUCGAAUGGAGUGCCAGAACCCGUUGGUGUGCUGGAGGAGACGUUUUCAUCGCUGGAGGAUGCCCGGGCGGCUACGUCAAGCGCUGCCAACGAUGCUGCCCCCCCCGCUGCUGCCCCCGCUGUUGAUCACACUGUUGCCCCUGAUGUUUCCACUGCUGCUAAAAUCGCUGCCACCACUGCCACCGCUGCCACCGCUGCCGCCCGUGCUGGGCAAGCAGCCAUGAUGGCAGAGCUGUCGGCCACCCAGCGCAUGGUGCGAAACAGUUUCCGCAGCCUAGGAGGCGUAGACACGGAAGAGCUCUCGUGUGCCAUCAGCCGCUAUGAUGAGCUGGUGAUGGCAUUAAUGCUCCGGUGUGGAGAACUGGAGACGCGGCUCGCUAUGCCACCACCGCCGCCGCC